rnacentral:rRNA from 1 species
AGAAACCUCUGCUCGUGUUCUUGAGUACCACGGGACACGUGAAAUCCUGUGGGAAUCUGGGGGGACCACCCUCCAAGGCUAAAUAUUGCUGAUGACCGAUAGUGAACCAGUACCGUGAGGGAAAGGUGAAAAGCACCCCGGGAGGGGAGUGAAAUAGAACCUGAAACCCUGUGCUUACAAGCAGUCAGAGGUUCGUUACGACGAACUGAUGGCGUGCCUAUUGAAGAAUGAGCCAGCGAGUUACUUUGUGUGGCAAGGUUAAGCAACGUUCGUUGCGGAGCCGAAGCGAAAGCGAGUCCGAAUAGGGCGACGAGUCGUACGGAGUAGACCCGAAACCGGGUGAUCUAACCAUGGCCAGAGUGAAGCUCGAGUAAAACCGAGUGGAGGCUCGAACUGGUGAAUUAGGCAAAAUUCUCGGAUGAGCUGUGGUUAGUGCAGGUGAAAUGCCAAACGAACCCGGAAAUAGCUGGUUCUCCCCGAAAUGCAUUUAGGUGCAGCCUCAGGUUGUAACCCGCGGGGGUAGAGCUCUGGAUGAGCUAGGGGCCGUGAGGUUGCCGAACUCAUCCAAACUGCGAAUACCGUAGGUGGAAUCCUGGGAGUGAGACUGCGGGGGCUAAGCUCCGUAGUCGAGAGGGAAACAGCCCAGACCAUCAGCUAAGGUCCCUAAGACAGGCUAAGUGGCAAAGGCGGUGGCGUUGCACAAACAACCAGAAGGUUGGCUUAGAAGCAGCCAUCCUUUAAAGAGUGCGUAACAGCUCACUGGUCUAGUGACACCGCACCGAUAAUGUAACGGGGCUAAAGUCUGUCACCGAAGCUAUGGAAUUGCUGUAAAGUGAUUGGUAGGGGAGCGUUGUCUUCGCAGCGAAGCUGUGGCGUAAGCUCCAGUGGAGCGUAGACAAGUGAGAAUGCUGGCAUGAGUAGCGUAAAGGCAUGUGAAAACCAUGCCCACCGUAAGCCUAAGGUUUCCUAUGCAACGUCAAUCGGCAUAGGGUUAGUCGGCCCUAAGCUCAACCCUAAUGGGGUAGGCGAUGGACAGUAGGUUAAUAUUCCUACACCGCCAGUUCUUCGUUUUAAGGCAAAGGGGGGACACAGUAGGAUAGAUUGAGCAUGCCUAUUGGACAUGGUGUGUUCCUGGUCUUAGGUGUGCCGGAGCAGGCAAAUCCACUCCGGCGUUAAGCUGAGGACAAGGAGAAUUCGAUGGGCAACCGGAGAAGACUCAGUUGAUUCCACACUGGCAAGAAAAUCCUCGUUGCUAGAAUUGCUGGCGCCCGUACCGCAAUCCGCCACUGGUAGGCGGGGAUAAAGGUCCCGAGGUGAUCGAGAGAACCCUCGUUAAGGAACUCGGCAAUCUAACCCCGUAACUUCGGGAGAAGGGGGCCCGUCUCUAUGAGACGGGGGCACAAAAUUGGCCCAAGCGACUGUUUAACAAAGACACUGGUCUCUGCUAAAGCGAAAAAGCUGACGUAUAGAGGCUGAUACCUGCCCGGUGCUAGAAGGUUAAGGGGAGAGGUCAGGGCGCAAGCCUGAAGCUUUGAACCGAAGCCCUAGUGAACGGCGGCCGUAACUAUAACGGUCCUAAGGUAGCGAAAUCCCUUGUCGGGUAAGUUCCGACCCGCACGAAAGGUGUAACGACUUGGGCGCUGUCUCAACGGGGGACUCGGUGAAAUUGAAUUGGGGGUGAAGAUGCCCUCUACCCGCGGCCGGACAAAAAGACCCUGGCAGCUUUACUAUAGCUUGGCACUGAACUUUGACUGUGCAUGUGUAGCAUAGGUGGGAGGCUGUGAAGCUGGGGCGUCAGCCUCGGUGGAGCCGUCGGUGAAAUACCACUCUUGCUCAGUUAUGGUUCUAACCCGCGGAUGCGGGGACACUGUCUGGUGGGUAGUUUGACUGGGGCGGUUGCCUCCCAAAUGGUAACGGAGGCGUCCAAAGGUUCCUUCAGCACGGAUGGAAAUCGUGCGCAGAGCGUAUUGGUAUAAGGGAGCUUGACUGUGAGACCAACAAGUCGAACAGGGACGAAAGUCGGGCAAAGUGAUCCUACGGUUCUGAGUGGAAAGGCCGUAGCUUAACGGAUAAAAGCUACGCCAGGGAUAACAGGCUUAUCUUGCCCAAGAGUUCACAUCGACGGCAAGGUUUGGCACCUCGAUGUCGGCUCGUCGCAUCCUGGGGCUGGAUAAGGUCCCAAGGGUCGGGCUGUUCGCCCGUUAAAGCGGCACGCGAGCUGGGUUCAGACCGUCGUGAGACAGGUCGGUCUCUAUCCGCCGUGGGCGUCGGAGAUUUGAGAGGAGCUCUCCCUAGUACGAGAGGACCGGGAGGGACAGACCUCUGGUGUGCCAGUUGUUCCGCCAGGAGCAGUGCUGGGUAGCUAUGUCUGGAUGGGAUAAGCGCUGAAAGCAUCUAAGUGCGAAGCCCACCUCAAGAUGAGAUCUCCCACUGGGUUAACCAGGUAAGGUCGCAGGAAGACUACCUGUUUGAUAGGCGGCAUGUGUAAGCACAGUAAUGUGUUCAGCUUAGCCGUACUAAUGACCGAGGCCUUGACCUA